GACGGGGCCCGCACAAGCGGUGGAGUAUGUGGUUUAAUUCGAUGCAACGCGAAGAACCUUACCUGGUCUUGACAUCCCGGAGACCCUUAGGAAACUAGGGGGUGCUUCCAUCUGGAAGAAUCUGGAGACAGGUGCUGCAUGGCUGUCGUCAGCUCGUGUCGUGAGAUGUUGGGUUAAGUCCCGCAACGAGCGCAACCCUUGCCUCUAGUUGCCAGCAGUUCGGCUGGGCACUCUAAAGGGACUGCCGGUGUUAAACCGGAGGAAGGUGGGGAUGACGUCAAGUCCUCAUGGCCUUUAUGACCAGGGCUACACACGUACUACAAUGGCCGAUACAAAGGGCAGCGACACUGCGAGGUGAAGCCAAUCCCGUAAAAUCGGUCUCAGUCCGGAUUGGAGUCUGCAACUCGACUCCAUGAAGUUGGAAUCGCUAGUAAUCGUGGAUCAGCAUGCCACGGUGAAUACGUUCCCGGGCCUU
rnacentral:rRNA from 1 species